GUGGAACACUCCCACGGUGACGUCAGAUAGCGUGCUCGACGUCAGAACAGCUGAGCACCAGGCAGACAGCCAUCCCACAGGAUCCAUGCAGAAACUGCUCAGAAUACUGCUGGACCUGGCUAUCGCCUGGAGGCUGUGGUCCACUCAAUAUCCAUUAAUGAAAGUCAUAUGACUAAGAGCUCAACAUCCGCCAACAGAAGAGAGUAAAUACUUCUCAUUCUGCAAUAAAACAAAAUCCUGCUUCCCAUCUCGUCAGUCCAACUCCCUUCACCUGCCUCUGAUCACUCCCUAGUUAGUCCCUCAUUACCUUCACCUGGUCUUCAUGCCCAUCUCAACUGUUGCCCAUUCCCUAAUUAGUCCCUGUCUACUUAGGUUCCCUUACUUGCACUUGUCCUCUGCCAGAUUGUCUUGUGUUUUUCUGACCAAGCCCAAGCGUUCCACAGUGUGUUUGAUUAUUCUGUCUGUUCCGUUGCUGACGACGCUCUCAGUAAAGAAUCUUUAUUUGCA